ACCCUACGGGAGGCAGCAGUGGGGAAUAUUGCACAAUGGGGGGAACCCUGAUGCAGCGACGCCGCGUGAAGGAAGAAGUAUCUCGGUAUGUAAACUUCUAUCAGCAGGGAAGAAAGAGGACGGUACCUGACUAAGAAGCCCCGGCUAACUACGUGCCAGCAGCCGCGGUAAUACGUAGGGGGCGAGCGUUAUCCGGAUUUACUGGGUGUAAAGGGAGCGUAGACGGCCAUGCAAGCUCGGUGUGAAAGGUGCGGGCACAACCCGCAGACUGCACUGAGAACUGUAUGGCUGGAGUGCCGGAGGGG
rnacentral:rRNA from 1 species